UAGGUGAACUGCGGAGGGAUCAUU
rnacentral:rRNA from 2 species